CGGAAUGGGCCGUUUUUCUCUAAAUCGCGUUCACAUCAGCGCGAUGUCAGGGGACGUGUCAGCAACUAGCGUCCACAUAAGCGCGCUUUGCUUACGUGGACACAAAUCGCGCUGACGUGGACGCGAUUUGCAGCCAGGUAACGCGCUUAUGGGAACGCGAUUUCCCUGUGUUUCCCACGUUAGGUUUUUUUUGUUUUUA
rnacentral:lncRNA from 1 species